rnacentral:rRNA from 1 species
CUAAGGAAUAUUUCCGGCAAUGGACGAAAGUCUGACGGAGCGACGCCGCGUGGACGAGGAAGGCCGGAAGGUUGUAAAGUCCUUUUGAGACUGAAGAAUAAGCGGGGCAGGGAAUGGCCCUGUGGUGACGGUAGGUCUUGAAUAAGCAACGGCUAAUUACGUGCCAGCAGCCGCGGUAACACGUAAGUUGCGAGCGUUGUUCGGAAUUAUUGGGCGUAAAGGGCAUGUAGGCGGCCCUGCAAGCUUGGUGUGAAAUCCACGGGCUCAACCCGUGAACUGCAUUGAGAACUACAGGGCUAGAGUCGCUGAGGCGAGACUGGAAUUCCAGGUGUAGGGGUGAAAUC